rnacentral:lncRNA from 1 species
GCCUGGCGUCCGCGUCGGCGAUCCGGGGUCUGGGCGCGGCGAGGUCUGGUGUGGCAGAUGUGGAUAGCUGGACCCUCCUGGGUGCCUCUGCGUUAUGUCGUUUGGUUGAUGCAUUUGGAGAGAAUCUGUGCUCUCCACAACUGCAGGGGCAACAUGCUUUCCUGGCCUCUUCAGAUCAGGGUGGCUGUUCUUGGGUGCUGCACCAAAACUCCAGCAGUGGGCUUUCUUCAAGGCAGGGGUUCCUAACAUCUACAUCGGUCAUUCGGACAGCCUUGCUUUUGGUUCACUGCCUUACACGGGGCUUCCAGAUGUUGACCUGCUUCAUUUUACAGUAUCAGGAAAUCACUUUCCCCUCAGAAAUGGCCGGCUCACCUCAUUCCUGCCAAGACCCAGGUCCGUGUUCUCACAGUGCUGCCAUCUUUCCUCCGUGUGAGCGUGGGCUGUGCGGAGAGUGGACCUCGGUGUGUGCGGGGCUGCGUGCACUGCCAUCGCUCCCUCUACACGAGCCGGCGUGGACCCAGGGCUGAGCUGUGACCACGAGGGCCAUCCCGACGAGCCGCCAUGGACCCAGGGCUGAGCUGUGACCAUGAGGGCUAUCCCGACGAGCUGCCGUGGACCCAGGGCUGAGCCGUGACCAUGAGGGCCAUCCCGAAACUGUGAUUGUUUUCUGAAUGUGGAAGCGUCGGCCGAGCGCGGUCCUUGGAGAACCCUUGCUGCGGAGAAUGACGCUCACUCUGCGGCCUGGCCUCGCCUCCCCAUCCCUUCUGCAAACUCACAGGACAGGAUUGAUGGGGAGAGCCCAGGCGAAACGAAGCUGACCCUAGUGACCAGCCCUACUGGCGGCUCUGGAACAGGCCCGGGACCGGUGGCCUGGAGACAGUGGUCCUUUCUGGAUGGGCUGCAGUCUCCGAAGGCUUCCCCCACUGGAGUCAGCCCUUUAGGAGUUUGUCCAGUGCCUCCAGAAAGCUGUUUUUUGGGGGACGGAGGACUUGGCCUGGAAUUCUGGAAUUCCCAGGGGGUCAGACAUGGUUAUGGGAAGUUUAAUAAAACCGGUGAAUCACGUGAAUUCUGCAACA